GCAAGUCGAACGGUAGGAAUCCUUCGGGAUUCUGAGAGUGGCGAACGGGUGAGUAACACGUAGAUGAUCUACCUUUUAGUUGGGGAUAGCCCAUGGAAACAUGGAGUAAUACCGAAUAAUCUCUUUUCUCUUUAGAGGAUAGAGGAAAGCGGCGUUUGCCGUGCUGAAAGAUGAGUCUGCGCACUAUUAGCUAGUUGGUGGGGUAAGAGCCUACCAAGGCGACGAUAGUUAGCCGACCUGAGAGGGUGAUC
rnacentral:rRNA from 1 species